rnacentral:rRNA from 1 species
AACGAACGCUGGCGGCAGGCUUAACACAUGCAAGUCGAACGCCCCGCAAGGGGAGUGGCGCACGGGUGAGUAACGCGUGGGAAUAUGCCCUUCGGUUCGGAAUAACACAGGGAAACUUGUGCUAAUACCGGAUACGAUCUACGGAUGAAAGAUUUAUCGCCGAGGGAGUAGCCCGCGUAGGAUUAGCUAGUUGGUGAGGUAAUGGCUCACCAAGGCGACGAUCCUUAGCUGGUCUGAGAGGAUGAUCAGCCACACUGGGACUGAGACACGGCCCAGACUCCUACGGGAGGCAGCAGUGGGGAAUAUUGGACAAUGGGCGAAAGCCUGAUCCAGCCAUGCCGCGUGAGUGAUGAAGGCCUUAGGGUUGUAAAGCUCUUUCGCCAGGGAAGAUAAUGACGGUACCUGGAAAAGAAGCCUCGGCUAACUCCGUGCCAGCCGCCGCCGUAAAAC